UUUCAAUGCGUGGCAAAUUCUAGCAAUGACUUAAGAUUGAUUCAGGCCUGGAUGGGAGGGAGGGCAGAGGUGGUGGGUGUUGGGAACGCAGACUGCCUGACUGGAAGCUUCCCUUGCCCCUCUUCCUGGAAGCUUCCUGGUAAAUUCCUCCCUCCUGUGCUAUUAGGAAACCUUCAACCAACUACCAUCUCAUCCAAAUGCUAUCAAUUCUUCGAAGUCUCAGUUAAGUUCUGCCUCUUACACAAAGCCUUGUCUCCACACUAGACGCAGCAAAACUGCAGUCUGUUGAAUUUAAAAGAAGUUUAAGAGGAACCUAAAGGUCAUCUGUGUUACCAAACCAAUAGUGUGGACCCCAUUUCCUACCGGCGUCAUCCGGGCUUUACGCAAAUAGGAGACCUUUCCAGUAUAUCUCUUGGUGAGAUAUAUAAAACCAAAUUCCAUAUGGAAAGAAGCUCACCAAGCAGGAUGCACUUGACCUGAGACGGCCGGCCCUUCUGGACCAUGCCCAGGGAUGCUGCAGCCUAGAUCCCACAGAUAUAUUCCUGUUAGCCUUGUUCACAGGUGGUUUGUUCAGCAUUCCCAAAACAGUCUCCAGGACAGAGACUUCCCUGCAGACUGAGACUGGAAAUCCCUUAAUUGUCAUUGGCUGGAACUGCCCCUCUUUCCCAGCUGAAGACUUCUCUUCUAAAACCAAGGCUGUGCCUGUAGUACAAGUGGACUUUCUCCAUUUAGCCUGGUACUUUCAACUGAAUAUAAUGUGGUCCAAUAGAGAUAUCCACCAACUGAGUCCACCACCAUAUCAUUUACCAGCAACUUCACCGUGCACAACGCACAGGAUGCCUUCAUCUUGCCCCCGAAUCUCACGCUGUCCGACCUCCUCAGUGGCCCUGAGCCUGACACGGAUGGACUGCAUCGACCUAGCUCCCUGCUCCCUGGCUUCCAGGGAGGUUCAGCCAAUGGACGCAGUGGCAGAAGAUCAGAGGGCAGAAGAAAAGAGGGCUGGAGGACAGAAUUAAACAUAAUUCACAGCCCCUCAACUUCUCUCGUCGAGACUUUCAGCAUCCAAGCAGUGCUACAGCUUAAUAAGCCAUGAGAAAGGAGAAAACCACGAAGAAGAAGAAAAUUAUAUUGUUUGUUCAAAAACAUCUUGGACAGUAUAAAAUAGAACGUUAGAAACAUUAAUAUCACACUAUGCUUUACUUGCUUUCCUAAUGUCAGAAAAUAAACAUGCUCAAGGGGUCAAUGCAUCCUCAUUCUCAUUUCUUUACCACAUCUAAGGUGAGAAAUUUUAAAGAAGACAGGGAGAAGCCUUUUUUGUCAGAAUCA